rnacentral:rRNA from 1 species
GACGUAGGAUGCAAGCGUUGUCCGGAAUUACUGGGCGUAAAGGGCGCGUAGGCGGCCUGUUAAGUCGAACGUGAAAUCCCCGGGCUCAACCCGGGAACUGCGUCCGAUACUGGCAGGCUCGAAUCCGGGAGAGGGAUGCGGAAUUCCAGGUGUAGCGGUGAAAUGCGUAGAUAUCUGGAGGAACACCGGUGGCGAAGGCGGCAUCCUGGACCGGCAUUGACGCUGAGGCGCGAAAGCGUGGGGAGCGAACAGG